rnacentral:rRNA from 1 species
UGGGGAAUUUUGGACAAUGGGCGCAAGCCUGAUCCAGCAAUGCCGCGUGCAGGAAGAAGGCCUUCGGGUUGUAAACUGCUUUUGUACGGAACGAAACGGUCUGGGUUAAUACCCUGGGCUAAUGACGGUACCGUAAGAAUAAGCACCGGCUAACUACGUGCCAGCAGCCGCGGUAAUACGUAGGGUGCAAGCGUUAAUCGGAAUUACUGGGCGUAAAGCGUGCGCAGGCGGUUUUGUAAGACAGGCGUGAAAUCCCCGGGCUCAACCUGGGAAUGGCGCUUGUGACUGCAAAGCUGGAGUGCGGCAGAGGGGGAUGGAAUUCCGCGUGUAGCAGUGAAAUGCGUAGAUAUGCGGAGGAACACCGAUGGCGAAGGCAAUCCCCUGGGCCUGCACUGACGCUCAUGCACGAAAGCGUGGGGAGCAAACAGGAUUAGAUACCCUGGUAGUCCACGCCCUAAACGAUGUCAACUGGUUGUUGGGUAUUUACUUACUCAGUAACGAAGCUAACGCGUGAAGUUGACCGCCUGGGGAGUACGGCCGCAAGGUUG